UGACUUGAUGCUCUUCCUCUACACGUUUCUAUUUAUUCUAAAAAAAAAUUAGGUCUUUUAGUAUUUUCCCUCUUAUUUGGGGGUUUUGUAAUGCAACUUCUCCUCAAAUGGAGAAAAAAUUUGCUGUGAUUUUUCUAUCUGAUUUCAUGUUUGUAGUCCUAAUCUUGGAUUUGUGGGGGCAGGUUUUAGAAUCAGGGGUUCUGUGAGGUGGUUUGCCUAUAUAUGAGAAGGUGUUGAGAAAGGAACGAUUCUUUUCAUAGUUUAUAGCGGUUCUUCUUGGAUUCGUCUCAAAGGAUGAUCAAAAUCUUAUCUCAAAGUUGUUGCAUUGAUUUGUUUCUGCUUUAGUUUGGUCGCUGCCUUCCUGUGAGAGCAAGUGGGAAUUUUCUUGGUACACAAUGGGAGAGGAAUUUGUGUGCUUGAAAAUUCUAAUCUUGUAAGAAGGUGGUAAUUGAGGUACAAAUCGUAGCUUGAUGAUGGGUUACAAAUUUGGGAGGAAAAACGAGAAAUAAUCACACCAGAGGUUUUUUGUUGCAAAGGAAAAGAAAAAGAAAAAAGCAUUAGAGAUUUUGGUAAGGAAAUAGCAUAACCAGAAUGAGAUCUGUGAACUUCAGGCUUCUAGUAGAUAGUCAUUUUUGCAAAAUUGCAAAUGCAUGCACCUCAAGUUUUAAUCUGUACACACAGAGGUUUAAAUCUAUACACCUCAGACCUGAAUCUGCAUAUAUUGUGAUAUUUGCACCUAUUAUGGAAGUUAGAUUGCCUCAUCUGUGAAUGAACAAUAAAAAUGCACCACAAAGCAAAAGUAGCAACUUCAAACAGAAAUAACAAGAGGCUAAGAAUCUUUACAUGGAUAACCCCAUAACCAUAAUUAUCUUUUCCAGCUAGUUGGGGUCGGCUACAUGGGGAACCCAGCAAUGUGGAAAAAAUGAGGGGUUCUAGUCUAGAUCAACCAUGGACAAUCCAUAAUGAUGGCAUAUUGGUAUUAUGGUUUAUGCUCUAGUCCAAGUUAGCGGGUGACCACUUCAAAAGAACACCUCUUGAAUUUCAAUAAAAAAUUAUUUAUCUUAAGAAAGUGGAUUUCUUUGUUCUUCUCUCUCUGCUAAGCUCUGCACAUAGAACAGAUAGAACAUCAACAUUUUUUUUUCUUUCCCUUUUUCUUGAAGCUUCACAAAGGAGAAUAAGAGAAUCUCAAAAGAUCAGGGUUAACUUUCCCUAGGUUCCAAAACAAGCCAAGUCCAUUCAAACUUGUUGUUUUUUUUUUGGUGAAACAUUCAAACUUCGUGGAAAUAGACUUUUCAAGUGUAAGAAAAUGAGAGAGAGAGAAUAAGAAUGAUAGUGUGGAGGAAAAUCAAUUGGCUGCCCUUUCAUACAUUAUGACUUCUUUUUGAUUAUUUAUUUUUCCUUUUAAGUGGGUCCUGCUCAAAUAUAAAUACGAAAGCCUUAAACAGGCGAAACCACAGAAUAUGCACUGAUAGAGUAUAAAAUGAUGACUAAGGAGAUGGAAUGAUACCUUUCAAUGAAGGACUCUUGAGGCCAAUAAAAGGGGGGCAUCAGCAUAGCUAUGAGGUUCGCACUGGAGGUAGGAACUGUGAUAGUUCUAUAAAUGCUUGCAUCAACUCUGGUUUUAGCCAUCAGUGAGGAAGAGUGAUUAAAGGGGAUUCCUGAAACUUACUUCAAAUGGUUGAGAUAAAUCUUGCUGACAAAAGAUUUGGUUUUGAUUGUUAAUGUUGUUGUUGAGCAGAAGAUGAUUGGCGAUGUAACAAAAAUAAAUGUUGAGGUUCUGAACUGAUUUUGAAUUGCAUAUAUCUUGGAGUGAGGAAAGAGAUUUGAAAUCCAUCUCUGAUAUAAGUAAGUGGAUAGAUUGGAUAUGUGUUAUGUGCCUUGUGUGAUCUCCACCUGCCGAUGAACUUUUUAAAGAUCUUGGGUUGAAUGCUAAAAGAAAGGCAUUGGUGCAAGAAAGUGAAAUAAUAAAGGUUGCUGUAGAUAUGGAAGGAAAGAAAAGGUCACAUUAUUGCUGGUUAUUAGAACCUUUUCUCUUAAAAGAGGUUUAGCUACUUUGAGACAAGCAGUUUAGCUACUUUGAGACAAGCAGUUUCGCUACUUUGAAGUCAGAGCUUAAGAAUUAAAAGUUAAUCUUCUUUUCCAUUCAAUAAUUUUUUAUUGAUUUUU